AAGUCGUAACAAGGUUUCCGUAGGUGAACCUGCGGAAGGAUCAUUAACACGUAUCCAACGUUAAACAACCCUGUGAACUUUAAGUCCCCUCUUGCAGCCCAUGAGGAACAGCAAUCCCGGUAAAUCAUUGCCAAACAGUUUUGAUUCGGGACCUCUGUCCAUGGAAGCAGUGGCAUGGCUUCCCCAAGCAGUUAGUGAAUGACAGUGUCACUGACUGUGUAAGGAUAACGCCUCGCGGUUGCUAGAGGUCGAUCACCGACCGGCAGACAUGUCACAGGGUCACCACGCCCCUUAAUCACUCCACUUGAAAAUGCCCCGCCUAGUGGUAACGCGCUAGGUAAAAAAAACCGAACAACUGUUAACAAUGGAUAUCUUGGUUCUC
rnacentral:misc_RNA from 1 species